AGUGAACGCUGGCGGUAGGCCUAACACAUGCAAGUCGAACGGCAGCACAGUAAGAGCUUGCUCUUACGGGUGGCGAGUGGCGUACGGGUGAGGAAUACAUCGGAAUCUACUUUUUCGUGGGGGUUAACGUAGGGAAACUUACGCUAAUACCGCAUACGACCUACGGGUGAAAGUAGUGGAUCUUCGGACCUUGCGCGAUUGAAUGAGCCGAUGUCGGAUUAGCUAGUUGGCGGGGUAAAGGCCCACCAAGGCGCCGAUCCGCAGCUGGUCUGAGAGGAUGGUCGGCCACAUUGGAGCUGGGACAGGGACCAGACGACUGCGGGAGGCAGCAGUGGGGAAUAUUGGACAAUGGGCGCAAGCCUGAUCCAGCCAUACCGCGUGGGUGAAGAAGGCCUUCGGGUUGGAAAGCCCUUUUGUUGGGAAAGAAAAGCAGCAGGUUAAUACCCCGCUGUUCUGACGGUACCCAAAGAAUAAGCACCGGCUAACUUCGUG
rnacentral:rRNA from 1 species